rnacentral:rRNA from 1 species
UACGAAGGGGGCUAGCGUUGCUCGGAAUCACUGGGCGUAAAGCGCACGUAGGCGGAUUGUUAAGUCGGGGGUGAAAUCCUGGAGCUCAACUCCAGAACUGCCUUCGAUACUGGCGACCUUGAGUCCGGGAGAGGUGAGUGGAACUCCGAGUGUAGAGGUGAAAUUCGUAGAUAUUCGGAAGAACACCAGUGGCGAAGGCGGCUCACUGGCCCGGUACUGACGCUGAGGUGCGAAAGCGUGGGGAGCAAACAGG